GCAAACUUGGUCAUUUAGAGGAAGUAAAAGUCGUAACAAGGUUUCCGUAGGUGAACCUGCGGAAGGAUCAUUAUCGAAAGAACAGUUGCGGGAUGUUGCUGGCACUGCGGUGCAUGUGCACUCCCCGGCUACUUCUCGAAACCAUUUCGCAACCCUUGUGAACUUGUUUGUAGGAGGGGAAGAUCUUUUGGUCGGCCCUCCUAUGUAUUGUUUUUACAACAUUUCACACCAGAAUGUUCAAAUGGAUGGUAUCUCAGUGUGGCCCAAAUUUUUGGGCUUGAUAAAUACACAACUUUCAACAAUGGAUCUCUUGGCUCUCGCAUCGAUGAAGAACGCAGC
rnacentral:misc_RNA from 1 species